AGUGAACGCUGGCGGUAGGCCUAACACAUGCAAGUCGAACGGCAGCACAGUAAGAGCUUGCUCUUACGGGUGGCGAGUGGCGGACGGGUGAGGAAUACAUCGGAAUCUACUUUUUCGUGGGGGAUAACGUAGGGAAACUUACGCUAAUACCGCAUACGACCUACGGGUGAAAGCAGGGGAUCUUCGGACCUUGCGCGAUUGAAUGAGCCGAUGUCGGAUUAGCUAGUUGGCGGGGUAAAGGACCACCAAGGCGACGAUCCGUAGCUGGUCUGAGAGGAUGAUCAGCCACACUGGAACUGAGACACGGUCCAGACUCCUACGGGAGGCAGCAGUGGGGAAUAUUGGACAAUGGGCGCAAGCCUGAUCCAGCCAUACCGCGUGGGUGAAGGAGGCCUUCGGGUUGUAAAGCCCUUUUGUUGGGAAAGAAAAGCAGCAGGUUAAUACCCCGCUGUUCUGACGGUACCCAAAGAAUAAGCACCGGCUAACUUCGUG
rnacentral:rRNA from 1 species